CCCCAGCAGGGACCUCCCCAGCAGGGACCCCCCCAGCAGGGACCCCCCCAGCAGGGAGGUCAGCAGCAGGGACCCUCACAGUAAAGCCAACCUUCUCAACAACCCACAAUUCAAUGUCAGACAGUGAACAAGAAGAUGUUCGGAGGUCAUUUCAUUGGAAGGUGUGGUCACACCGUAUCUUUACUAAGUCAAUAAAACAAUGAGCAUCCA